UUGGGUCUCGAGAGAGUUUGAUCCUGGCUUAGGAUGAACGCUAGCGAUAGGCCUAACACAUGCAAGUCGAGGGGCAGCACAUGAGUAGCAAUACGAUGGUGGCGACCGGCGCACGGGUGAGUAACACGUAUGCAACCUACCUUUAACAGGGGAAUAACCCGUUGAAAAACGGACUAAUACUCCAUAACACAGGGGUCCCGCAUGGGAAAUAUUUGUUAAAGAUUUAUCGGUUGAAGAUGGGCAUGCGUUCCAUUAGCUUGUUGGUGAGGUAACGGCUCACCAAGGCUACGAUGGAUAGGGGAACUGAGAGGUUUAUCCCCCACACUGGAACUGAGACACGGUCCAGACUCCUACGGGAGGCAGCAGUGAGGAAUAUUGGUCAAUGGGGGCAACUCUGAACCAGCCAAGCCCGCGUGAAGGAUGAAGGUCUUAUGGAUUGUAAACUUCUUUUGCAAGGGAAUAAAGUGGGGGACGUGUCCUCCUUUGCAUGUACCUUGCGAAUAAGGAUCGGCUAACUCCGUGCCAGCCGCCGC
rnacentral:rRNA from 1 species